rnacentral:RNase_P_RNA from 1 species
AAGUCAAGUUGGGCAAUUGCUACAAAAGGUUAGUAUUCUUGAGUAGAGGAAAGUCCGAACUCCAGAGAACGCGGUGCCGGGUAACACCCGGGGACCGGUGACGCAAGUUACCGGUUACGGAAAGUGCCACAGAAAAUGAACCGCCCCGGUUUUCGGGGUAAGGGUGAAAAGGCAGGGUAAGAGCCUACCGCUUCUAUAGUAAUGUAGGAGGUCCUUUUGAUAAGGAGUAUUCGACAUGAGAAUAUCAGGGCAAACCACACCGGGAGCAAGGUCAAGCAGGAGGAUUACCGGCAUGUGCCGGUUCAAAAUUGUUCGUUUUGUAUGCCUCCGGGUAGACCGCUUAAGUCUUUCAGUAAUGAAAGAUUGAGAUAAAUAAUUGCCGUCCCGUUUGCGGGAUACAGAAUUCGGCUUAUAGACUUGGCAAUCAG